GACGAACGCUGGCGGCGUGCUUAACACUUGCAAGUCGAACGGAAAGGCCUCUUUCGGGGGGUACUCGAGUGGCGAACGGGUGAGUAACACGUGAGUAACCUGCCCUUGACUUUGGGAUAACUUCAGGAAACUGGGGCUAAUACCGGAUAGGAGCUCCUGCUGCAUGGUGGGGGUUGGAAAGUUUCGGCGGUUGGGGAUGGACUCGCGGCUUAUCAGCUUGUUGGUGGGGUAGUGGCUUACCAAGGCUUUGACGGGUAGCCGGCCUGAGAGGGUGACCGGCCACAUUGGGACUGAGAUACGGCCCAGACUCCUACGGGAGGCAGCAGUGGGGAAUAUUGCACAAUGGGUGGAAGCCUGAUGCAGCAACGCCGUGUGCGGGAUGACGGCCUUCGGGUUGUAAACCGCUUUCGCUCAUGACGAAGCUUUGUGUGACGGUAGAGGGUAAAGAAGCACCGGCUAACUACGUG
rnacentral:rRNA from 1 species